UGGCACCAGUAGGUGUCACUCUCCAUAGGCUGAGCCUCUAUACAAGGGGAAGCUAGAAGGGUGGUAGCCAGGAGUUCACUUCCUGUGUCUGAGACCAGGGGUGUGGUCGAUCCAUGCUGUUGGUUGGCUGGCUGGGGGCCGCAUUAACAGUAUUCCAGUGGUAGCGUUACGUGGGCGUGUGGUUGUUCGACGCCGCAGGGUUGUCACUGCUUCCUGCUGUCCUUUAGAGUUUGAUUUUCUUUUCUGUUAGUCUGCCUGGUUUGGAUUGUUUUUCUUUUUGAGUACUUGUGAGGGUGGACUAACAACUUUGCAUUUAUUUUGUUUUCUUUUCCCUUCCUGUAUGCUUAUAUUCCUGCUACAUUUUAGAUAUUGGCACCUGUAUUUUAUUUAUAUACAAUAAAGCUUGGUAAAAUUAAA